AGUGAACGCUGGCGGUAGGCCUAACACAUGCAAGUCGAACGGCAGCACAGUAAGAGCUUGCUCUUACGGGUGGCGAGUGGCGGACGGGUGAGGAAUACAUCGGAAUCUACUUUUUCGUGGGGGAUAACGUAGGGAAACUUACGCUAAUACCGCAUACGACCUACGGGUGAAAGCAGGGGAUCUUCGGACCUUGCGCGAUUGAAUGAGCCGAUGUCGGAUUAGCUAGUUGGCGGGGUAAAGGCCCACCAAGGCGACGAUCCGUAGCUGGUCUGAGAGGAUGAUCAGCUACACUGGAACUGAGACACGGUCCAGACUCCUACGGGAGGCAGCAGUGGGGAAUAAUGGACAAUGGGCGCAAGCCUGAUCCAGCCAUACCGCGUGGGUGAAGAAGGCCUUCGGGUUGUAAAGCCCUUUUGUUGGGAAAGAAAAGCAGCAGGUUAAUACCCCGCUGUUCUGACGGUACCCAAAGAAUAAGCACCGGCUAACUUCGUG
rnacentral:rRNA from 1 species